rnacentral:lncRNA from 1 species
AGAGAAAAUGGUCUAAAACCCCCCCAACCUAUACCCGAAAUCCCAACUACACACUCCAACUUUACGGGUGUCCUAUUACCCACCUGAACUUUAUAAUUCUCUAUUUUAUACACACCUAAGUGCUGACCUGUCAUGGGAGGUGUUCUCACCUUCUCUAGGCGCGUUAGAAAGUGAAUUUUGACGAAAAUUUCCGAAAAAAUAGUCAUCUUCCCCAAUUAAUCAAUGAAAGGAUUCAAUCUCAAUUGACCUCCAUUAAUGGCAUUGCUAGUGCUUUCGUUUGUUCUCCCUCUUUUGCUGCUCGACCAUCAGCCACCACUGUCGCCGCCUCCGGCGAAAUCCAAACCACCAAC